rnacentral:rRNA from 1 species
GACGAACGCUGGCGGCGCGCUUAACACAUGCAAGUCGAGCGGUAAGGCUCCUUCGGGCGUACACGAGCGGCGAACGGGUGAGGAACACGUGAGUAAUCUGCCCUUCACUUCGGGAUAACCACCGGAAACGGUGGCGAAUACCGAAUACGACCAGUCGUCGCAGGAGGAGCUGGUGGAAAGUCUUUGCGGUGAAGGAUGUGCUCGCGGCCUAUCAGCGUGUUGGGGGGGUAAUGGCCUACCAAGGCUUCGACGGGUAGCCGGCCUGAGAGGGUGACCGGCCACACUGGGACUGCGACCCGGCCCAGACUCCUACGGGCGGCAGCAGUGGGGAAUAUUGGACAGUGGGCGAAAGCCUGAUCCAGCAACGCCGCGUGAGGGAUGACGGCCUUCGGGUUGUACACCUCUUUCAGUACCGACGAAGCGCCCUGUCGGGUGGUGACGGUAGGUACAGAAGAAGGCCCGGCCAACUACGUG